CAGGGCAGAUACUCAGCUCACAUACGUUACUGCAAACCCAUCUCUCAUGACUGCCUUGAAGAAAACUAAGUUUGGAGGGCAAACUGCCAUACGAAAAUGUGGAAAGACAGAUGAAUCUGCAGAGUCAAAGACAAGAUCUGCUUACCUGGAGCAGAAGCCAUAAACUGAGAAACUGGACUUCAACAGAAAGGGAGAAAUAAAGACUAUCCCAGGCUCUGAAAGACAUACGAAAGUAACUUCUUCAGGGAGAAGGAAAAUCAUAUAGGAGUAAUUCAAUCCAGAUUGUGAAGAAGUCUUAGUGCCAAUUGCUCUGGCAGCCAUGUUAUGACCAUGAGACAAUCAGCCAUAGAAAGAAAUAUUCUGCAUGAUAGUUUAG
rnacentral:lncRNA from 1 species